GACGAACGCUGGCGGCGUGCCUAAUACAUGCAAGUUGAGCGCUGAAGGUUGGUACUUGUACCAACUGGAUGAGCAGCGAACGGGUGAGUACCGCGUGGGGAAUCUGCCUUUGAGCGGGGGACAACAUUUGGAAACGAAUGCUAAUACCGCAUAAAAACUUUAAACACAAGUUUUAAGUUUGAAAGAUGCAAUUGCAUCACUCAAAGAUGAUCCCGCGUUGUAUUAGCUAGUUGGUGAGGUAAAGGCUCACCAAGGCGAUGAUACAUAGCCGACCUGAGAGGGUGAGCGGCCACAUUGGGACUGAGACACGGCCCAAACUCCUACGGGAGGCAGCAGUAGGGAAUCUUCGGCAAUGGACGAAAGUCUGACCGAGCAACGCCGCGUGAGGGAAGAAGGUUUUCGGGUCGUAAAACUCUGUUGGUAGAGAAGAACGUUGGUGAGAGUGGAAAGCUCAUCAAGUGACGGUAACUACCCAGAAAGGGACGGCUAACUACGUG
rnacentral:rRNA from 1 species